GGAUGCGAUUAUACCAGCAUUAAUGCACCAGAUCCCAUCAGAAAUCUGCAGUUAAGCGUGCUUUGGCGAGAGUUGUACUAGGAUGGGUGACCUACAGGAAAGUCCUCGUGUUGCAUUCC
rnacentral:rRNA from 1 species